rnacentral:rRNA from 1 species
CCCGUCUUGAAACACGGACCAAGGAGUCUAACAUGUGCGCGAGUCAUUGGGACUGGUUAAGCCUAAAGGCGCAAUGAAAGUGAAGGUCGACCCUAGCGUCGACCGAGGGAGGAUGGCUCGCGUCACGAUGCGAGUCCGCACUCCCGGGGCGUCUCGCGCUCAUUGCGAGCGGAGGCGCACCCAGAGCGUACACGUUGGGACCCGAAAGAUGGUGAACUAUGCCUGGUCAGGACGAAGUCAGGGGAAACCCUGAUGGAGGUCCGUAGCGAUUCUGACGUGCAAAUCGAUCGUCGGAACUGGGUAUAGGGGCGAAAGACUAAUCGAACCAUCUAGUAGCUGGUUCCCUCCGAA